rnacentral:rRNA from 1 species
UCCUGACUUAGGACGAACGCUGGCGGCGUGCCUAAUACAUGCAAGUCGAACGGUCUUUCUAUGGAAGCUUGCUUCCACUGAGAAGAUAGUGGCGAACGGGUGAGUAACACGUGGGUAACCUGCCCAUAAGAGGGGGAUAACAUCCGGAAACGGGUGCUAAUACCGCAUAGUUUUCUUGAUCGCAUGAUUGAGAAAGGAAAGACGGCCUUUGUGCUGUCGCUUAUGGAUGGACCCGCGGCGUAUUAGUUAGUUGGUGAGGUAACGGCUCACCAAGACGAUGAUACGUAGCCGACCUGAGAGGGUGAUCGGCCACAUUGGGACUGAGACACGGCCCAAACUCCUACGGGAGGCAGCAGUAGGGAAUCUUCCGCAAUGGACGAAAGUCUGACGGAGCAACGCCGCGUGAGUGAAGAAAGGUUUUCGGAUCGUAAAACUCUGUUGUCAGAGAAGAACAAGUUGGAGAGUAACUGCUCCAGCCUUGACGGUAUCUGACCAGAAAGCCACGGCUAACUACGUGCCAGCCGCAGC